rnacentral:rRNA from 1 species
GGCGCACGGGUGCGUAACGCGUGGGAACCUGCCCUUUGGUUCGGAAUAACUCAGGGAAACUUGAGCUAAUACCGGAUGAUGACUUCGGUCCAAAGAUUUAUCGCCAAGGGAUGGGCCCGCGUAGGAUUAGCUAGUUGGUGGGGUAAUGGCCUACCAAGGCGACGAUCCUUAGCUGGUCUGAGAGGAUGAUCAGCCACACUGGGACUGAGACACGGCCCAGACUCCUACGGGAGGCAGCAGUGGGGAAUAUUGGACAAUGGGCGAAAGCCUGAUCCAGCAAUGCCGCGUGAGUGAUGAAGGCCUUCGGGUUGUAAAGCUCUUUUACCCGGGAUGAUAAUGACAGUACCGGGAGAAUAAGCUCCGGCUAACUCCGUGCCAGCAGCCGCGGUAAU